GAUGAACGCUGGCGGCGUGCCUAAUACAUGCAAGUCGAGCGAACAGACGAGGAGCUUGCUCCUCUGACGUUAGCGGCGGACGGGUGAGUAACACGUGGAUAACCUACCUAUAAGACUGGGAUAACUUCGGGAAACCGGAGCUAAUACCGGAUAAUAUAUUGAACCGCAUGGUUCAAUAGUGAAAGACGGUUUUGCUGUCACUUAUAGAUGGAUCCGCGCCGCAUUAGCUAGUUGGUAAGGUAACGGCUUACCAAGGCAACGAUGCGUAACCGACCUGAGAGGGUGAUCGGCCACACUGGAGCUGAGAGACGGUCCAGACUCCUACGGGAGGCAGGAGUAGGAAAGCUUGCGCAAUGGGCGAAAGCCUGACGAAGCAACGCCGCGUGAGUGAUGAAGGUCGUCGGAUCGUAAAACUCUGUUAUUAGGGAAGAACAAAUGUGUAAGUAACUAUGCACGUCUUGACGGUACCGAAUCAGAAAGCCACGGCUAACUACGU
rnacentral:rRNA from 1 species